rnacentral:rRNA from 1 species
UACGUAGGCAGCAAGCGUUGUUCGGAGUUACUGGGCGUAAAGGGUGCGUAGGCGGCUUUUUAAGUUUGGUGUGAAAUCUCCCGGCUCAACUGGGAGGGUGCGCCGAAUACUGAGAGGCUAGAGUGCGGGAGAGGAAAGUGGAAUUCCUGGUGUAGCGGUGAAAUGCGCAGAUAUCAGGAAGAACACCCGUGGCUAAGGCGGCUCUCUAGUACGGUACUGACGCUGAGACGCGAAAGCGUGGGGAGCGAACAGG